UGUUAACAAGGAACCUUCAAGCCUCGGGA
rnacentral:piRNA from 1 species